rnacentral:tRNA from 1 species
GCACCCUUAGCGCAGUGGUAGCGCGUCACAUUGACAUUGUGAAGGUCGCAGGUUCAAUCCCUGCAGGGUGCA